UAUAAGCUGUAUCUGGUGGACUGUGUCAAAGGUCUAAAGUUCAAGGUUUCAGAUAUGGCACCACAGUCACCUGAGACUUGAAGCAAGAGCCGCUCACCUGAUUUGAAACAGUUUGGAUAACAAACCAUUGGGUACUGCUGAAAUGUAUCAGGGAAUUAGUUGUCAUAAAAACAUUCAAAAUGAACAUCCCAAAGUGCCAGCAAGCAGGAAACAGACAUGUCAGUAAGGAAGCAGGGAGUGGCAGGCAUCCUCCAAUGGAGUUAGAGAAAUCCUAAUUGCUCACACCUGCAGAGGCUGUCACUUUUGUAAGGCUCCAUGAUGGUAGAGACCCUACCGAGUGCCUAACAUGUGGCAGGCGCUCCACACACACUUUCGGAAUGAAUGAAUCCACAGAUCAACCACAGGAAAGAGGUAGUGUUAUGGUCUGCAUUUCACACACCAGGAC